rnacentral:RNase_P_RNA from 1 species
CAGAGAAGUUUUAACGUUUGCCUGCAUCUGCGGGAGGAAAGUCCGAACACCAUACGGCAGGAUGCUUCCUAACAGGAAGUCCCGGUGACGGGAAGACGCUCCACAGAAACAGACCGUCUUUCGAUAGUUUUCUGGUUUCCAGAUAAUUAUCGGGAGAUAAGGGUGAAAUGGUAGUGUAAGAGACUACCGGAUUCCGGUGUGAACCGGAAUGCCGGGAAUGCCUCAUCUGGUGCAAUGCCAAGCAGGAGUAGCCUUAGGGCACCCGUAGCCAGCGGGUUUUACUCUGGGUAGGUAGCAAAAGCCGGUCCUUAUGGAGUUUUUAAUAACAUAGCAAUAUCCGGCAUAGAUAAAUAGACGUUGAGUCGAUUGUUAAUCGGCUUACAGAAUUCGGCUUACUAACUUCUCUGGCAA